rnacentral:rRNA from 1 species
AUUGAACGCUGGCGGCAGGCCUAACACAUGCAAGUCGAGCGGAGCAGCAGACGGGUGAGUACGACCUAGGAAUCUGCCUGGUACUGGGGGAUAAGGUACGGUAACGGGCGCUAAUACCACAUACUAUCAGAAGAGCCUAGGUCGGAUUAGCUAGUUGUUGGGGUAAAGGCAUACCAAGGCGACGAUCCCUAACUGGUCUGAGAGGAUGAGCAGUCACACUGGAACUGAGACACGGUCCAGACUCCUACGGGAGGCAGCAGUGGGGAAUAUUGGACAAUGGGGGAAAGCCUGACGCAGCCAUGCCGCGUGUGUGAAGAAGGUCUUCGGAUUGUAAAGCUCUUUAAGUUGGGAGGCGUUACCAACAGAAUAAGCACCGGCUAACUCCGUGCCAGCAGCCGCGGUAAUAC